UGAAUUAUUGCUUAAUGGUUAAAGCAUUUCACUCAUAAUGAAAAAUCUAAGUUCGAUUCUUAGUAAUUCAA
rnacentral:tRNA from 1 species